rnacentral:rRNA from 1 species
CGAUAGUGAACCAGUACCGUGAGGGAAAGGCGAAAAGAACCCCUGUGAGGGGAGUGAAAUAGAACCUGAAACCGUGUACGUACAAGCAGUAGGAGCCCAUCACUAAGUUACUUUGGUGAACUCCUAAGUAAGCACAAUGUUUGAAUUAGCGUUAACGUCGACCUAACUUUUUAGCCGACGGUCAACCGCCAAAAUCAAGCAGAGGUAGCUUAGUGAUGGGUGACUGCGUACCUUUUGUAUAAUGGGUCAGCGACUUAUAUUCUGUAGCAAGGUUAACCAUUUAGGGGAGCCGUAGCGAAAGCGAGUCUUAACUGGGCGCUUAAGUUGCAGGGUAUAGACCCGAAACCCGGUGAUCUAGACAUGGGCAGGUAGAAGGUCAGGUAACACUUACUCGAGGACCGCAC